rnacentral:rRNA from 1 species
CCUAGGGAGGCUGCAGUGGGGAAUAUUGGACAAUGGGCGAAAGCCUGAUCCAGCCAUGCCGCGUGUGUGAAGAAGGCCUUCGGGUUGUAAAGCACUUUCAGUGGGGAAGAAAGCCUUGGGGCUAAUACCCUCGAGGAAGGACAUCACCCACAGAAGAAGCACCGGCUAACUCCGUGCCAGCAGCCGCGGUAAUACGGAGGGUGCGAGCGUUAAUCGGAAUUACUGGGCGUAAAGCGCGCGUAGGCGGUCUGAUAAGCCGGCUGUGAAAGCCCCGGGCUCAACCUGGGAACGGCAUCCGGAACUGUCAGGCUAGAGUGCAGGAGAGGAAGGUAGAAUUCCCGGUGUAGCGGUGAAAUGCGUAGAGAUCGGGAGGAAUACCAGUGGCGAAGGCGGCCUUCUGGACUGACACUGACGCUGAGGUGCGAAAGCGUGGGUAGCAAACAGGAUUAGAUACCCCGGUAGUC